GACGAACCGUGCGAACGUUAUUCGGAAUCACUGGGCUUAAAGCGCGUGUAGGCGGAUGGGUGCGUCGGACCUUGAAAGCCCCCGGCUCAACCGGGGAAGGGGGGCCGAAACGACCCGUCUGGAGGGACGUAGGGGGAUCUGGAACUUCCGGUGGAGCGGUGAAAUGCGUUGAGAUCGGAAGGAACGCCCGUGGCGAAAGCGAGAUCCUGGACGUUUACUGACGCUGAGACGCGAAAGCUAGGGGAGCGAACGGG
rnacentral:rRNA from 1 species